GUCUGUACUGCCACAUCCUACAGUUGCUCUCCUGGGUUCAGACAUGCUGUCUGCAGAAGGUUUCACUUUAGCUUUGUGCAGCAGCAGACAUUAAAUGAUGAUAAAAUGUGGCCGUAGAGGGAUGCAGGGGUGGUCAGACUGGAUUCAGACCAGGGGCUGUUCCCGUUUGUCUGUUUUACACCACGUCAUCGCCUCGGUCAUGACUUCUCCUUACUGUGACCCAGAAAUCAGCUCGUCUUUAUUCCUCUAGGAGACAGGAUGCACAGGUGGAGACAGGAUGCACAGGUGGAGACAGGAUGCACAGGUGGAGACAGGAUGCACAGGUGGAGACAGGAUGCACAGGUGGAGACAGUCUUUCCAUGAACCGGCUCGACCGUCUGCAGCCUCAACGUUGGUCCGAGCUGCUUUUCUGCUCACGGUUGUAAACAGCGAUCCUCUGAGUUAGUGUAGCUGAUCUCUUCAGCUCAAAGCAGUCUGACCUUUGACCUUUUUCAUCAUUAGGGGGUUUCAGUCUACAGAGCUUCUGUUUUUCACUGUUCUGUGUAAGAUCUGUGGUUAAAAGCAGUAUCGAUAACCGAUCAGUGAAAUUUACAUUAUUUCUUCUUUCCCCAGUAAAUUCAACAUCUUUGGAGUUUUAACUGAAGAUCCGACAGCGCCACCUUCACGCCUCGGCUUUGUUAACGAUGGCUCCUGAAAAUUAUGAUUUUUUUUUUUUUAUUCCACUUUUGUGGAUGUUUCAAACUCUGUUAUUCAACAAAAUGAUUUUUCAAGUAGUCGACGGUGAAACCGGCCUCUCCACGGCUCGGGCACCGAGACGGACACAAACACAUUUUUGAUUAAAUUAUAAAGACCCAAACAAUAUGGAUUAAAGCUGGAGCUCGGCCUAAUUAGUAAUCGGGUUAUCCCGCUCUGCAUGAUGGCGUAAUGCUCUAUUGUCUUUGCACGUCCACAUACGUGUAGUUUUCACAUCAAAGAAUGUGUAGAGUGGGAUUAUGCAUUUAAUCCUCCUUCAGAUUGAAAGUGGAGACACUCAAAGGCUGGCAGUGCAGUAAAGGGAUGAUAAUUAUGAGUGUCUCUGUCUGACAGCGUCUCUGAAACGCCACAUGUGCUUAUUAUUAGAUGAGUGGAUGUGCUUUUAUUCCAAUGAUUUCCAGUUUCAGACCGCUGACUCACCGUGGA
ensembl:lncRNA